UAACAAAGCAUUACAUUAAUAAUACAUAAUGAAGCACUAAUUAAUUAGUUCUGAGGUUUAGAUCCAGUGUCUUUUUCCAUGGCCUUAUAUUCUUCAUAGGUGCAGCAAUGUCCAUGGCAUUUAUAAUGACAUUUUUUAGGUUUAUAUCCACCAUCAACUUCUACUUCCUGCUGUGAUUCAGUGGCUUUUUCCAUGGCCAUAUAUUCUUCAUAGGUGCAGCAAUGGCCAUGGCAUUUAUAAUGACAUUUUUUCUUAGGUUUAUAUCCACCAUCAACUUCUACUUCCUGCUGUGAUUCAGUGGCUUUUCCCAUGGCCAUAUAUUCUUCAUAGGUGCAGCAAUGGCCAUGGCAUUUAUAAUGACAUUUUUUCUUAGGUUUAUAUCCACCAUCAACUUCUACUUCCUCGUGUGAUUCACUGGCUUUUCCCAUGGCCAUAUAUUCUUCAUAGGUGCAGCAAUGUCCAUGGCAUUUAUAAUGACAUUUUUUCUUAGGUUUAUAUCCACCAUCAACUUCUACUUCCUCGUGUGAUUCACUGGCUUUUCCCAUGGCCAUAUAUUCUUCAUAGGUGCAGCAAUGGCCAUGGCAUUUAUAAUGACAUUUUUUUUUAGGUUUAUAUCCACCAUCAACUUCUACUUCCUGCUGUGAUUCAGUGGCUUUUUCCAUGGCCAUAUAUUCUUCAUAAGUGCAGCAAUGUCCAUGGCAUUUAUAAUGACAUCCUUUGUGUCCUCCACCUUUAUUAUAAUGGUCACCUCCAACACCAUCAACGUCUACUUCCUUCGCUGCUGCAUCGAUGAAUUGAGAAUAUUAAAACUUAUGCAUAUGCAUGUACUCACGACUGAUCUUUGAAUUGAAAUUUCAAUUUAUGUGUAGUACUUUUCAUUUCAUUUCGUUAUAGUUUAAGAUAAUUCCUCUUACUAUUAUAUAUAUUUAAAUAAAUUCUUAGUUUCAAUAUAAUAUGUUUAAAUAUUUUGAAUUGAAAUUUCAAUUUAUGUGUCGUACUUUUUAUUUUAUUUUGUUAUAGUUAAGAUAAUUCCUCUUACUAUGAUACAUAUUUAAAUAAAUUUUUAGUUUCAAUAUGAUAUGUUUAAAUCUACAAGAUUCAAAGGAUAUUUUAGUAUGUUCUAAACACAAUUUAGUUUUGUUUAGCAAGGAUUGAGAAGUUUAUGCUAUAUUCUUUAAAUUCAGGCAUAGUAACUGAGAAGCAUAAGGAAUAUAUAUUAAGUGUCAUGAUCAAGCUAGUGUUAGUAAAACAUUAGGUUAUCAUCUCACAUUUAUAAAAACUUACAAAUUUUAGUUUGUGGUCUAAUCUCAGAAACAACUUCUCUAUCUUGCAAAGAUUGGAGUAACAUCAACUUACAUAUUCUAUAUAUCUUCCGUAGUCUCUACUUAUGAGAUUACACUGAAGAUAUAGUGUGUGAUUUAAUUUUAAAUUUUCAUAAAAUUUUCAGAAUGCUCACAUUGAAUAUAAUUUUAAACAGUGGUUUAAAAGUUCUAUUAAGUAGCAUAAACAAUAAAAAGAUGACCAUUUACUAAAAGGAAAAGCCGAUUAAAAUAAGAUAUUAUCUUCAAUUAAAUGCUAGGAGUAGAACCUGUUAAAAUACUAAUAGCAUUUCACAUGCUGGACAUAUAUUUACUAUGUCACUAAAUUAAGAGCGAUAAAAAACGUGUAAAGUAAUGGAUAAAGAUAUGUUAAUAUGGCUAACGUAGUAACAUCAAUAGGUUUUUUUUUUUUUUUUUUUUUUUCCGAAUGAAUUCAAUUACGUAAAAAGAUAAUGAAAGAUAAUACUUAC
rnacentral:lncRNA from 1 species